CAUUUUACAUGCCCGGAGAGAGUAUAUACUACAAAAUUGGAAUCUAAAAAAUUUGGAAGAAUUGGAAUUCAUAUUCUUAUACCGAAGCCAAUGGGAAGAAUCUCCAUUUUUGUUUGCACAAUCGCAGUAAUAUUCAUAUUUUUUCUUCUCUCCCGCUCAUCCAACAACAACCACCGUCCCAUCCACCGCCGCCUCCGCUCAAACUCCACACACUCUGCCGAGUCCUACGAUGACAAGUUCAAUCUCACCAACAGGAUCGUCCGUCUCUUCCCUGAAAUCGAUGUGGAUCCCACCGAUUGGUUCGUAUCUCUCCAUGAAUUGACUCAGUGGAACCUUCAACAAGCUCAGAGGGAGUUCUUGCAUCGAAGCCAGAGGGAGAUGGUUAUUCACGAUAAGAAUCACGACGGAUUCGUUUCAUUCUCUGAAUAUGCUCCUCCUUCCACUUGGUUUCAUCAUGCAGAUGGUGAUUCUUUUGGUUAUGAUACGAGUUGGUGGAAAGAAGAGCAUUUUAAUGCAUCGGAUAUAGACGGAAAUGGUCUUCUAAACUUAACUGAGUUCAAUGACUUUCUUCACCCGGCUGACAGCAAGAACCCCAAUCUUCGACAAUGGCUGUGCAAGGCUGAAGUCAGAGAAAGAGAUAUGGACAGAGAUGGGAAGGUCAAUUUUAAAGAAUUUUUCCACGGGCUGUUUGAUUUGGUACGAAACUAUGAUGAAGGAAGUUACAAUGAUUCACGUCAUUUUGACGAUUCAAUGGAUGCUUCAGCUAGAGUGUUGUUUUCUCAGCUUGACAAAGAUGGAGAUGGAUAUUUGUCAGAUAUUGAACUCCUGCCUAUAAUUGGGAAACUCCAUCCAUCUGGGCAUCAUUAUGCAAAGCAACAAGCAGAAGAUAUAAUUUCACAGCUUGGGCGCUGUGAGUAUGGAAAUUCACUCUUUGGGAGAGAAGACCCUUUAAUGUGUUCCAGAUCUUCGAAGGAAUUAGUUUCUUCAGUUGCACGGGGAGAAUAUCCCAAGAAACCAAAAGAAUUAUGUCACAAGUUAAAAUGAUAACUGUGCAAAAGGUACAGUCAAAUAAGCAGUGUUUGCUUUAACUGUGAAAUCGUGUUCUGAGGCAUUUCUUGGUGAAAGCUAUCUCUACUACCUUGACACGGACGCAUGUUUGACAAGGAAUGGACAUUCUUCUAAACACUCAGUAAGAUGUGUACGAGUGAGAAAGCGACUGUAUGAAGUUUCAAUGUGAACAAGUAACUUAACGAGUGCCUGUGUGAAACAUCAAAUUUCUAAAGAAUGAAAGUAUAGCAAUGAAAUGAUUAAACAAUGUGUAUUUGGUAGCACUACUUUAGUUUCUUUUCAAUCUUCAUUUAACAAUUUAUGCUUGAGUUGUAAUUUAUGUUAUGAGAAUUGGUGAAAGAAAAAUGAAACUGGAACAAAACAUAACAAAUUGAAUCUUGCUAUUCAUAAUGGUUUUAUGAAUAGAACUGGUUGAUACAUAUAGUCAUUGAAGAGGCGCUAACUUCACAUCCCAUUCUCCUUGCUUGUGAUCUCUUGAAUUCCCUUUCUGCGUUGUUCUCUGCUAUGAAAUCUCCUUGUUCUACUGUGCAUCCUAGUAAUGGUCGAGCAUUUAUCACAUUUAUUAUAUGCUAUAGUGUGUUUUUGUGAUUUCUUAAACAAAUUAACAAGAUGUUUUCGUUAGGCAACAUAUCUGAACCAAUAAUGUUGAUGUCAUUUAGUUGACAAAGCUGAUAAGAUUUUUAUACCUUGGUGAUGUCUCUGAGGGCUAUUCUUCAUCUGUGACACAUCUAUGCAAGAGCAGUAAUAAUGUCUCUUACUACAGUCAUGUGGAUUGAUAGCUGCACAAUAGGAUACAAAUAACAUACCGUGUUAGGUUCCUGUCUAUGGGAAAUCAGUGACCGAAAAUUUCGUUCCCAACAAAUAUGGCCUCCUAUGUCGGAAGGUUAAGACUAAGGCCAUUGAUUCUUUCUCUUGUACUGAUUUAGUAAGAGAGGAACCGGCUAAACUCAUGCCGUAGUAAGCUAUAGGCUUCUGAUUUUUGGACAAAACUGCACCUAUCCCUUUGUCCAAAGCAUCACAGUCGAGGGUGAAAGGUUGGGAAAAAUCGGGAAUAGCUAGUAGAACAGUAGCUGUGGCAACAGCCUGCUGCUAACUUCUGAAUGCCUCCAAAUUGUUAUUGUUCCGCAGACAAUUUCCUUUCUUCAACAGGUUUGUCGAUGGCCUUGCUAUUUAGUGUAGAAUUCAUUAGACAUUGGAAUGUUGCAAGAGCAUUUGUAAGUCCAAAAGGAAGCACCUCCUCGUGCAUUCUGAUUUGGUGGAUACCCAACUUUUAAAUCAACUCUUGAAAAAUAGGAAGCACCUAUAACUGAUCCAACAAUUCCUCAGUGACCCGUUUGGGAAACUUGGCAGGAACUGUAGCUUUCUUCAAAGCUCUGUAAACUACUAAAAAGCGCCAACGUCCAUCCUUUUUCUUCACCAAGGCCAUAGGACUAGAAAAAGGGCUAAUACUAGGACAAUGAUACCUAUAUGACCAGUCUUUCUGUUUAUGGAGGGUUUAUAUCCUCAUGCUAGAUUUACAUGUUAGGGGGUCUCUUAACUAGAUGCAGUUGCGUAACACCUCAUUAAGCAUAAUAUUGUUAUGAGAAGUAGAUUGUUUUGUCAAAGAUUGCUCAACGAGCACUCCGAGUCGACUUCUGUUGGAUAACAUCAUUCAUUAAUUUCAUUAAUAACCAUUGCAUAAUGUUGUGACAGGCAGAAAUUGACGAAGAUGGACGUCUUACACUGAGUGAGAUGAUUGAGAAUCCAUAUCCAUUUUAUAGUGCUAUUUUCAAUAAUGAUAAAGAUGAAAUAGGAUGAUUCACAUGACGAGUUAUGUGAAAUUAAUGCUAGGAUAUGCAGAAAAAGUUGGGACAGUAGUAAUGGAAAAGUGACGAGUUAUGUUGUAAAUAAUGUAUAUUUGUAAUUAUUUAUAAUAAUUGUACUCGGCCCAUUUAUCAUUCAUGCUCUAGGUGUAAGCGGUUCCGUCAAAACCGAUCAAUCCGACAAAUUAAUCCAACCUAAAAAUGACUGGUUUUGUUUGGUUUGGAACAAAAACUGAACCGAACUGAAGAAAACCAAAUUGGUUCUGUUUGGUUCUCAGUUUUUAAUUUUAAAAUAAAAACAGGUGAACCAAACCGAACCUCUUACUAAUACUAUUUUAGUCUAGGGCCGGAUCCAAAAGUGACCCACCCUCAAGUUGGAAGGAAAUGAAUUGGAAUUUUAGUUUAGAUGUAUUUGUAAUUUGAGAUUAAUUUAAUUUCAGGAUGGUGAACUAUCAUCAUUUUAGUUUGUAUUUGGAAUUCAUUUUGGAUGUAUUUGUAAUUUGAGAUCUAAAGUUGUGUCUUAUGGUUUGCAAUGUUGAGGGUAUGCAAUGUUUCUGCAAUUAUAGCUGUUGUGCUGGUCCCUUUAUUACAGUGUUCAGGGGACUCUACUAUUAUUUGAAGACUUUUUCUUUGUUAUCUUCAGCAAGAAACGGUCACAUGACAUCAAUAAAUAUAUCAGAUGAUAGAUA